UUAGUACAUAAAGGAAUAAUUUCCUUGAUUUAGAUGAAGCGUUAAUGAAAACGUUGAAAAAUAACCUAAUUCCUGCAUUUCAGAUUCAACGGACUUCAUUUAAAAAAAAAAUAGUUAAAAAUACAUUUGUAACAACUUAGUAUUCAGGUAAUACAAUUGGAUUUCAAUUAGAUCCCAAAGAAACCAUAAAAGUAGAGCAUUCUCCAUCUUUCGAAGCACCUAGAUUCCAAUAAUCCAAAAUGGGUUAAUGGCCUCAGUGAAUUAUGAGCUAUAUAAGGCCCUCGAGUUGGGAAGGUUACCAAUGGCUGCCAGUCCGUAGUUCCAAAGUCCGGAGCUGUCGUCACAACACUGUUUAUGUUGUAACCAAGAGCAGGUGCUGGACUUAUCGUCACUACUUGGUCCGGGUUGCGAUCGUCGACAUCGGACGUAAAUAAAGCAAUGUAACCGAUUCGAUCAGUUUGUUGCACAUAUUUUAGUUUUUAUGUGGUUUUAUAAACUAUUUUUAGUUUAUUUUAUGUAGGCGUGGUAUCUGGACAUUACAGUAAACGAAGGAAAUCACUUCAGCCAUGUUUACCUAACUGAUUUCACUAGCUGAUAAUUAAGAUUACUGGAAUGAAUAAAUAUUGGAGGGUUUGUAACGAGUA